rnacentral:rRNA from 1 species
UACGUAGGGUGCAAGCGUUGUCCGGAAUUAUUGGGCGUAAAGAGCUCGUAGGCGGUUCGUCGCGUCGGCUGUGAAAACCCGAGGCUCAACCUCGGGCCUGCAGUCGAUACGGGCGGACUGGAGUUCGGCAGGGGAGACUGGAAUUCCUGGUGUAGCGGUGAAAUGCGCAGAUAUCAGGAGGAACACCGGUGGCGAAGGCGGGUCUCUGGGCCGAUACCGACGCUGAGGAGCGAAAGCGUGGGGAGCGAACAGG